GAGUUUGAUUAUGGCUCAGAUUGAACGCUGGCGGCAGGCCUAACACAUGCAAGUCGAGCGGUAACAUUUCUAGCUUGCUAGAAGAUGACGAGCGGCGGACGGGUGCGUAACACGUAGGAAUCUACCCAGUAGCGGGGGAUAGCCCGGAGAAAUCCGGAUUAAUACUGCAUACGCCCUACGGGGGAAAGCAGGGGCUCGCUCUUUCGAGAGUGACCUUGCACUAUUGGAUGAGCCUGCGUCGGAUUAGCUUGUUGGCGGGGUAAUGGCCUACCAAGGCAACGAUCCGUAGCUGAUCUGAGAGGAUGAUCAGCCACACUGGGACUGAGACACGGCCCAGACUCCUACGGGAGGCAGCAGUGGGGAAUAUUGCACAAUGGGCGAAAGCCUGAUGCAGCCAUGCCGCGUGUGUGAAGAAGGCUCUAGGGUUGUAAAGCACUUUCAGCGAGGAGGAAAGGUUAAAGAUUAAUACUCUUUAGCUGUGACGUUACUCGCAGAAGAAGCACCGGCUAACUCCGUGCCAGCAGCCGCGGUAAUACGGAGGGUGCGAGCGUUAAUCGGAAUUACUGGGCGUAAAGCGUGCGUAGGCGGCUGUCUAAGUUGGGUGUGAAAGCCCCGGGCUCAACCUGGGAACUGCAUCCAAAACUGGAUAGCUAGAGUGCGGAAGAGGAGUGUGGAAUUUCCUGUGUAGCGGUGAAAUGCGUAGAUAUAGGAAGGAACACCAGUGGCGAAGGCGACACUCUGGUCUGACACUGACGCUGANGUACGAAAGCGUGGGGAGCAAACAGGGUUAGAUACCCUGGUAGUCCACGCCGUAAACGAUGUCUACUAGUUGUCGGGACUCUUGCAGUCUUGGUAACGCAGCUAACGCGAUAAGUAGACCGCCUGGGGAGUACGGCCGCNAGGUU
rnacentral:rRNA from 1 species